rnacentral:rRNA from 1 species
CCAGCCUGCCCAGUGACCAAGUUAAACGGCCGCGGUACCCUAACCGUGCGAAGGUAGCGCAAUCACUUGUUCUUUAAAUAAGGACUAGUAUGAAUGGCAUCACGAGGGUUACACUGUCUCCCACCUCUAAUCAGUGAAACUGAUCCCCCCGUGAAGAAGCGGGGAUAAAACUAUAAGACGAGAAGACCCCAUGGAGCUUUAAACUCAGUAUCAACCACUAUAAAUCACACCCUAUAAGACAGGUGGACCUGAUUACUAGUUUUAGGUUGGGGUGACCGCGGAGUAUAACAUAACCUCCAUGAUGAACGACCUCCCUCUAAUCUAAGAGCAACUGCUCAAAGAAUCAAAAAAUUGACAUCUAUUGACCCAAAUAAUUUUGAUCAACGAACCAAGUUACCCUGGGGAUAACAGCGCAAUCCAUUUCAAGAGCUCCUAUCGACAAAUGGGUUUACGACCUCGAUGUUGGAUCAGGGUAUCCCAGUGGUGCAGCCGCUACUAAAGGUUCGUUUGUUCAACGAUUAAAACCC